GGUGGGAGGAAUGACGCAUUUCGGUGUGUAAACUCCUUUUAUAUGAGAAGAUAAUGACGGUAUCAUAUGAAUAAGCACCGGCUAACUCCGUGCCAGCCAGCCGCGGUAAU
rnacentral:rRNA from 1 species